AGUCCAACAGUUAUAAACGAAACUCAAAUGAGGAAAGUGUACGAUAGAAACGAGGAAAAUAAUUGUAUGUGAAAAAAGUUAUUAAACAACAAUAACAAGUGCUAACAAAACCUAGUAGCAGUGUAUAUGUAUUUAAAAAUCGGCGAUGUGGGGUUUCCAAAGCUAAAAUAAAAUAAAAAAAGUUACAAUAAUAAAAAAAAUAAUAAUAAUUGACGUUGACAUUCAAAUCGACAUAAGCUAACUGAAAUUAAACAGGCUAAACAUACAUAAGUACAUAUUUAUAUUGGUAUGUAUAUUGGUAUGUGCCUUUAUUCAAAUUACUUUGCAUGUGUAUUAGUUAGUCGCUUUGACAUCUAAAUGACAAAAUACAUGCAAAUAUUUAACUCAAAUCAAUAAAAGCUACCAAUAUACCGAAAUUAUGCGCUCUACAAUAAAACAAUAACAGUAAAAACUGGUGCAAAUUAGAAUUAUAAAAAUUCUUUGUGUUUUAGUUGUGAGUAAAUAACACGAAAAACGAUAGAAGGUGUGCUAUAACGGUUAUACAUAUAUUAUAUUUUAAAAAAAGCUAAAACCUAGUGAAAAUUGUCUCAAAUAUUUUCUGUGUGUGCGGGGAAAGUGUUUACUGUUGGAAGAAAUCCGUUUGUGGCAUGUGUUAGCCAAGUCCUGAGAGAUGUUAUAAAUAUUCUCUGUGACUUCGGAAAAUUUAAGGUGUAUAAAAUUGGUUAUAUAUUUUAAGAAAAGCAACAACAAAGUUGAAAUCAGCUAAUAAAUAUUUCUGUGAGUUCGAGGAAGAAAUAAUAUUUAUUUUCUUGCAUUUGUGGAAUGUGAUAGCCAGGACCUGAAAGAUAUUGUAAAUAUUUUCUGUGAGUUCGGCGAAAUUUAUGGUGUUCUAUAACGAUUAUAUAUUUUAAGAAAAGCAGCAGUUGAAAAUCGGCUAAUAAGUAUUUUCACCAAACAAGUUCAUUAGUUACAAUAACCCUUGCUGUAAAUUGCUAAGUCUGAACGUGUUUACCUGCCUGCUGUCUAUCUCAAACUGUUUAUCAAAGCACUUACAUAAGUGCAUAGCUGUGAUAGAUAUACAACAAAAACAAAGUUGUUAGAAAGUAAAAACAAAAACGCCAUAAAUAAUUAACAACAUUAACACUUAAGAAUAUCGGAUUGAUAAAUUGAAAAGGCGUAGUGGAAAUAAAACGCAACAAAAAUGCAUAUAAAACACGGGUGCACAUCGACGCCCUUACUACUGUGGCUAACCGUCAUCACAUUUUCCAUGCUGUACAACAACAUUGCAGGCAUUGAAAUUCCAACACAUUUCCUAUACAAACGCAGCGCUGACGCGGAUACAACGGCGGAGACUGCCGAUGCGGGAGAGCGGGUGCGGACGGACGGCACAAGUGAUGAGAACCUUUUAACCUUCUACAAAGAGCUGGCCAAUGUGACGGAUGUAGAGGAUUUAAUAGAGCGCUUCGUCGAUAAGGAUAGCAUUGAUCCUCAGCUAGGCUUACAAGACACUUUUAGACGCAGCGUAGAGCGCGCUAAUGUACUAACGGCUAAGCCAGCAGCUUGCAUGCCUGAGAGCACCGUUGUACCGCUCAUACCGCUGGAGCCCUCGAAAGAUCCAAAAAUCGACUACUUUCCCAAGUGUACGCGUGUGAAACGCUGCGGCGGCUGCUGUGGCUCACAGCUGAUGUCGUGUCAACCCGUCGAGACGGAGACAAUCAACUUUCAGGUGUUUCCUUUUGAAGUGGUCAGCGGCAGACAAAUGCGCAUUCGUGGCAAGGAUAUUGUCGUCGUGGAACAGCACACGAAAUGCAAAUGCGACUGUCGCAUUAAGGCGGAGGACUGCAAGCAAUAUCAGAGAUAUCGGGCGGACAAGUGCAGCUGUGAGUGUACAAAUGAUGAUGCGUUGCAGAAAUGUUUAGAGCAAGGACACAAAUACUGGGAUGAAACAGAAUGCCGUUGUGUCUGCCGCGACAGUCAGUCCUGUACGACCGGCACAAUAUUUGACGAGAGCCAAUGUGCCUGUAUCGAUAUAAACCAGAUCGAAUACGUGGUGUAAAAUUAGUUGAAAUAGCAAACAGACUAAAAAUUAAACCAAAAGAAAACAAAAUAUUUAAAAAAUAUAUAAUAAACUGAACACUAUAAUAAAUGCAACACUGUGUAUUGAGAACAAAAACUACAAAUGAACACUCAAGAUUUUGAUUAAAAAAUCGUAAACAAUAAUGCAACUAUUGCAAUUAUAUAUUAAAUUUAUGAUACACAGUUACAUAAAACUAUGAGUGUAGCAUGUUUGUAUGUUUACAUAAACUCAUACAAAUAAUAUAAAUGGACUUAAUUAGCACUUGUGAUUCACAUUCUAAAUGAAUAUUACAAAUAAUUAUUACUUGUUUAAGGCAUUUUAAAUGAUUUUUGUCUUGAAAGUAACGAAAGCAUUUUUACGCUAACAUAAAUCACUGACGAUGGCAGCAACUCUAAAAGUGCGAGCUCUAAUUCACCUACACUGCUCGAUCGCCGGCGUUUCAUAGUCAAGGCCAUACCCGUAGAGGUGAAACCGGAUGAUAGCACACGUUAUUUUGUCUAAAAUCGCGAUAAAGGAGAAAACAAAGAAAGUAAAGAAAAUAAAGAAAAAAAGGAGAAAAUAAAUAAAAUAAAAAAACAGAAAACAUAGAAGAAAAAACGGAGAAAACAAAAACAAAGUUUGGAAGAAAGCAUUGAGUGCGAGGCAGUAGUAUGAAUUUAAUGCAUGUUUUAGUGUAAAUAAAAAAAUAAUAAUAUUCAGUA